GUGAGGAAUAUUGCGCAAUGGGGGAAACCCUGACGCAGCGACGCCGCGUGGGUGAUGAAGGCCUUCGGGUCGUAAAGCCCUGUCGGGAGGAAAGAAAUGCGUUCAAGCCAACACCUUGGACGUUUGACGGUACCUCCAAAGGAAGCACCGGCUAACUCUGUGCCAGCAGCCGCGGUAAUACAGAGGGUGCAAGCGUUGUUCGGAAUUACUGGGCGUAAAGGGCGUGCAGGCGGCUUGUCAAGUCAGAUGUGAAAGCCCACGGCUCAACCGUGGAAGCGCAUUUGAAACUGGCAGGCUUGAGUACCAGAGGGGAAAGUGGAAUUCCCGGUGUAGAGGUGAAAUUCGUAGAUAUCGGGAGGAAUACCGGUGGCGAAGGCGACUUUCUGGCUGGAUACUGACGCUGAGACGCGAAAGCGCGGGGAGCAAACAGGAUUAGAAACCCGGGUAGUCC
rnacentral:rRNA from 1 species